rnacentral:rRNA from 1 species
GAUUGCAGGCUGCAACCCGCCUGCAUGAAGUUGGAAUCGCUAGUAAUCGCGGAUCAGCAUGCCGCGGUGAAUACGUUCCCGGGCCUUGUACACACCGCCCGUCACACCAUGAGAGUCGGGAACACCCGAAGUCCGUAGCCUAACCGCAAGGGGGGCGCGGCCGAAGGUGGGUUCGAUAAUUGGGGUGAAGUCGUAACAAGGUACC